UAAUAUACUUUAUAUCACCCAGUACUUCUUCCCUCAUCCUCUUGUUGACUUUGCUUCCUAGGUCAUAGAAAACAGAAGUAAUCCCAAGCAAAAUUUCACAAGCUUGUACAUCUCCCUCCUGCCAGCAACUGCACCCUACAGAGUCCUGCUUUGCCUCCUUUCCUUACAAUGAAUUGUCCAGUGUAGGGACACCGAAUCCCAUCAUCACUCAUCUGCUCAAGGUCUUUACUCCACGGAUUCACUCCUUACUUUGGAGGCAGAAUCUAAAUCAUCACGCCCAGCUUACAAAUGAGAAAAGCAGGAUGCAGACUGGUGAAGUCCCUGGAUUAAGGAGGCAGAAUCUAAAUCAUCACGCCCAGCUUACAAAUGAGAAAAGCAGGAUGCAGACUGGUGAAGUCUCUGGACUGAGGUAAACAAGUGAUGACUGAAGAGGGAGUAGGAGUCAAACAUGUGCUGCCACAGGUGAAGGAAGGCAAACAUCUACCCAGGGUAUGAACUACCUAAGGGGUCCCCAAGGACAAGACCUGCAGGCAGCUUCUCUGAGCAGCAAGAAGUCCCUAACCGACA